UACAGAGGUGGCAAGCGUUGUUCGGAAUUACUGGGCGUAAAGGGCGCGUAGGCGGUCAGGUCAGUCCCGUGUGAAAUCCCUCGGCUCAACUGAGGAACUGCACGGGAAACUACCUGGCUUGAGUUCGGGAGGGGGAAGCGGAAUUCCGGGUGUAGCGGUGAAAUGCGUAGAUAUCCGGAGGAACACCGGUGGCGAAGGCGGCAUCCUGGACCAACACUGACACUGAGGAGCGAAAGCCAGGGGAGCAAACGGG
rnacentral:rRNA from 1 species